rnacentral:rRNA from 1 species
GGGUUCUACCAUUGGUCGGUGCAAUAGUCUGUACUGGUGUGUAGAAUUUCUACCUUCUGGGGAACUAUCAUGUUAUUUAUUUAGCGUGGUAGGAAACCAGGACCUUUACCUUGAAAAAAUUAGAGUGUUCAAAGCAGGCUUACGUCUGAAUACAUUAGCAUGGAAUAAUAAAAUAGGACGGUGGUCCUGUUUUGUUGGUUUCUGAAUCACCGUA